UACGGGGGGGGCAAGCGUUGUUCGGAAUUACUGGGCGUAAAGGGCUCGUAGGCGGCCAACUAAGUCCGACGUGAAAUCCCCAGGCUUAACCUGGGAACUGCGUCGGAUACUGGAUGGCUUGAAUCCGGGAGAGGGAUGCGGAAUUCCAGGUGUAGCGGUGAAAUGCGUAGAUAUCUGGAGGAACACCGGUGGCGAAGGCGGCAUCCUGGACCGGUUCUGACGCUGAUGCGCGAAAGCGUGGGUAGCAAACAGG
rnacentral:rRNA from 1 species